GAUGAACGCUGGCGGCGUGCUUAACACAUGCAAGUCGAACGGAAAGGCCCUUCGGGGUACUCUCUUGUCUAACCGGUGAGUAACACGUUGACGAUUUGCUCUCCACUUUGUGAUACUGCGGUGACACUGGGUCUCCUACCGUAUAGGCCCACGCUCUUCUUGGCGUGUGGUGUCAAGCUUUUGCGGUGUUGGUUGGGCCCGCGGCCUAUCGGCUCGUAGGUGAGGGAAUGGCAUACCAAGGCGCAGACGGGUAGCCGGCCUGUGAGGGUGCCCGGCCACACUGGGACUGAGAUACGGAGCAGACGCCAACGGGAGGCAGCAGUGGAGAAUAUUACGGAAUGGGGGCGAGCGUGAUGCAGCGACGCCGCGUGAGGGAUGACGGCCUACGAGUUAUAAACCUAUGUCAAUAGGGACGAAGCGAAAGUGACGGUACCUAAAGAAGAAGCACCGGCCAACUACGUG
rnacentral:rRNA from 1 species